GCAUCUGUGGCCGAGCGGUCGAAGGCAACGGACUCAUAAUCCGUCAUCCAUAAAGGACUACACUGGUUCGAAUCCAGUCAGAUGCA
rnacentral:tRNA from 1 species